rnacentral:rRNA from 1 species
UACGAAGGGGGCUAGCGUUGUUCGGAAUCACUGGGCGUAAAGCGCACGUAGGCGGCGCAGCAAGUCAGGGGUGAAAUCCCGGGGCUCAACCCCGGAACUGCCCUUGAAACUGCAGUGCUAGAAUUCUGGAGAGGCGAGUGGAAUUCCGAGUGUAGAGGUGAAAUUCGUAGAUAUUCGGAAGAACACCAGUGGCGAAGGCGACUCGCUGGACAGACAUUGACGCUGAGGUGCGAAAGCGUGGGGAGCAAACAGG